rnacentral:rRNA from 1 species
UACGAAGGGGGCUAGCGUUGCUCGGAAUCACUGGGCGUAAAGCGCACGUAGGCGGCUUUUAAGUCAGGGGUGAAAUCCUGGAGCUCAACUCCAGAACUGCCUUUGAUACUGAGAAGCUUGAGUCCGGGAGAGGUGAGUGGAACUGCGAGUGUAGAGGUGAAAUUCGUAGAUAUUCGCAAAGAACACCAGUGGCGAAGGCGGCUCACUGGCCCGGUACUGACGCUGAGGUGCGAAAGCGUGGGGAGCAAACAGG